GGUUAUUAUUUUUCUCCCACCAUUUUUCAACUGAGUACUGAACCAGAAAACUCCCUUUUCCCUCAAUCUCUUCGAAUCCUACAGAAUAGGCAAAACAAAAUGCCAACUUACGGAAUUAGGGGAAUCGAUGUCGACUUCCCUUACGAGGCAUACGAUUGUCAACUAGUUUACAUGGAGAAAGUCAUACAAUCUCUUCAAAGCCGAUGUAAUGCACUCUUGGAGAGUCCUACUGGAACUGGGAAAACUCUGUGCCUUCUUUGUGCUACAUUGGCUUGGAGGAAGAGUUGUGGUCCGUUCUCAACUGGUAAAAUUGAAAGAAAUGGUCUUACUGCAGGAAGCAAAUCAGAUGAGGUGCCGUCAGCCUCUCAGGGUGGUGGCCUUCCUACUAUAGUGUAUACAUCGCGCACUCACAGCCAGCUCCGGCAAGUUAUUCAAGAAUUGAAGAGGUCCAGCUACAGGCCAAAAAUGGUAGUAUUAGGAUCUCGGGAGCAGCUGUGCAUUCACGAAGAAGUCAGUUUACUACGUGGAAAAGCACAGAAUAAUGCCUGCCAUUAUGUUUGCAGAAAGCGGGAAAACCGUAAAUGCACUCAUUUUGCUCGUGUUGGGGAUUAUGUGCGGCAAAAUCCCCAGAUUGGGGAUGAACCUGUGGACAUAGAGGAUUUGGUAAAUAUUGGGAGAAGAUCUGGACCGUGCCCAUAUUACAUAUCGAGGGAGCUUCACAAGGUGGUCGAUAUUUUAUUUGCACCUUACAAUUAUCUUAUUGAUCGUAGCUAUAGAAGAUCUCUUAAAAUUGAUUGGAACAACAGUAUACUGAUAUUUGAUGAAGCUCACAACCUGGAAAGCUUAUGUGCAGAUGCAGCAUCUUUUGAUUUAUCUGCAGGGCUUCUGACAGCUUGCAUUUCUGAAGCAAAAUCUUGUAUAAACCUUUCUGUGGCUAGGAGAGAAGAAUUGAAUGAUAAAUCACGGAAUCCAGAUAAUUUUGCUAUUCUUAAAGCAAUGCUUUUGAAACUUGAGAAGCGGAUUGCUGAAGUGCCUAUUGAAUCCAAGGAUUUGGGAUUCACAAAGCCUGGGCCAUACAUUUAUGAACUACUCGCUGAUCUUAAUAUCACACAUGAAACUGUUUCUAAGCUCACUGACUUAAUUGAGGAAGCUGCUCUGCUUCUUGAGGAAGAUAAGCAACAGAGGGCAAAGGACACAACCUGUAGGCUGGAAAGCAUUGCGGACAUUCUUAAAAUAAUUUUUAAGGAAAAGAACAAUGCUCAUGCAAACUUCUAUCGUGUUCAUGUUCGGGAGGUUGAGGCAAAUGCUUUUGAUGCCUUAAAAGGUAAUGCAUCUAGAACACUGAGUUGGUGGUGUUUUAAUCCAGGCAUUGCCUUGGAAGAGUUCUCCCGGCUGGGUGUUGGCUCUAUUAUAUUGACAUCUGGAACAUUAUCUCCCAUGGAUUCAUUUGCACAAGAGUUGAAAUUAAACUUUCCCAUUCGGUUGGAAAAUCCUCAUGUCAUAUCCUCAAACCAGAUAUGGGCUGGUGUUGUGCCAGCUGGUCCAUCAGGGAGAUCAUUCAAUUCGUCUUAUAGAAAUCGCGAUUCUAUAGAAUACAAGCAAGAGCUUGGGAAUGCUAUUGUCAAUUUUGCUCGCCUUGUACCUGAUGGAUUGCUCGUGUUCUUUCCAUCUUACUACCUUCUGGAUCAAUGCAUUGGGUGCUGGAAGAAUGUGAGUCAUGCAAAUUCAACAACAAUAUGGGAAAGAAUCUGCAAACAUAAGAAACCUGUUGUGGAACCUAGACAAUCCUCACUGUUUCCUUUGGCAAUUGAGGACUAUAUGGCUAAGCUGAAGGAUACCUCAACUUCUGGUGCAGUAUUUUUUGCUGUUUGCCGUGGCAAGGUGAGUGAAGGGUUAGAUUUUGCUGAUCACGCUGGAAGAGCUGUUGUGAUCAUUGGUAUGCCCUUUCCUUCAAGGACUGAUCCUAAGGUUAGAUUGAAACGCGAGUUCUUGGAUGAGCAGUUGCAGUUGCAAAGGAAUGGAUGCAAGUUACAGAUUCUAAGUGGAGAAGAUUGGUACACGCAGCAGACAUCAAGAGCUGUGAAUCAGGCUGUCGGACGUGUAAUUCGUCACCGUGAUGAUUAUGGAGCAAUUAUUUUCUGUGAUGAAAGGUUUGCAAAUUCAAAUUCUCAAUCCCAAAUAUCACUUUGGAUACAACCCCAUAUCAAGUGUCAUUCCAAAUUUGGGGAUGUGGUUUUUACAUUGAGCCGCUUUUUCCGAGAUGCAUUAGUUCGUGGUCCUGCAAAGCUUAAGUCAAUACAAAGUGAAGACAUGGAAAAUGUCAAAGAGGUGAAAACUUCACAGCCUGUAGACAAAUUUUACCUGGGCGAUUUUCUGAAUUCGAGCACACCAAUAGAUCAGAAUGGUGCGUCAAAAUCAUUAUCUUCUUUACUUGAAGUCAGAAGAGGCAAGGAGUCAGGGCAAUUGAAGGAGGUUCUUCCUGCCAAUCGCUCAUCUCUCACUACUUUCAAGGAAAAUCAGGAUUUCAAUUUAAAGUAUUCAAGUGGUCUUCUCUAUAAAGACAAGAAAUUACUAGUUCAUGGGAGUAAAAAUACACAACAUGAAAAUCAUGAGAGAAUGGAUUUGAGUGACAAAUCUUUACCGGAUGAAAUUCCAAGCAGACCGAAAUUUCUUGUACCAUGUCUUGAAAAGAAGCGUAAAGCAUUUAAGUCAGAGAAUGGUCUAACGGGACAGAUUGAUAACACUCAAGAUUAUACACCUAACACCAAAAGAUCACAUUCAAAUAGCCCCUGUACCCCUUCUAGUUUGGUGACAAAACUAGAGAACCCACACCACUCUGAUGAUGGAAGCAAGCAAAAUGCUGAAAUUGUUUCAGUAUGCCCCUGCGAUGAUCAUGAUAUUGCACGAAAUGGGGAUGCUGGGUUCCUCACUCAGAAAAAUAAAGGUGUUCAGAACACUUUGGCACCUUGUAGUGAUGAGGAAAAAAGAGGAUCUGCAUUUCUGAUUCAGGUCAAAGAGAAACUUUCAGCAGCAGAAUACAAAGAAUUUGUGGGGUUUAUGAAGGCACUAAAGUCUAAAGCCAUGAAGAUAGGGAAUGUUUUAGAAUCCAUAGUGAGAUUAUUUUCUGGACCAGAAAGGAAUCCUCUUCUUAAAAGAUUCAAGGAUUAUAUUCCUACAAAAUAUCAUUCUUUAUAUGAGCAUUAUCUUGAAGCCAAUGAUGAAACACUCUUUAAACGAAUGCAGCAUAAGUGAUUAGAGGAACUGUACAACUUCAUCAUAGCAACUGCUGCACUAAGUCAAUGCUGAUUGAUGCCACAGAAUUCUGACCGGGAAUUUAUUGCCUGUGAUUUGGUGUAAAGGGUACAAAACUGAUAUAGAGAUUCUUCUGGACAAUCCUUUUUUGCUUCAAAGUAAUCGAAGGCUAUUCUGACCGAUAUGGUCAAAGUGAUAGCAUUUGUAAUUGUGACGGGGAAGAUUCAAUGUGAAGGUAGCGUUAACCAUUGCUUGGUUUUUGAGUCACCUAAAAAUUUAUCGUCGAAAGAGUAGAUUUGUUAUUUGUAUAUAAUUUUCAGGAACCUUCAGGGAAUGAAGCUGCAAUUGCAUAAAAUAUUAUUCCUCAUUCCUGACCAGAAUAAUGUAUGAUUUUAAGCUCUCUGAUAUCGUGAAUGGAGUUCUAGAAAGUUAAAGCAGGACAUAUCUUGUGUAGUAUCUUCAGUCUGCAGUUUCUGUAUAUACUGUGAAAAGGAAUUUUUGUUUACAAGUUUGACUGACAAGGAUACUCCGUUCUAAUUCCGUUUAUUGCUAA